UACGUAGGUGGCAAGCGUUGUCCGGAAUUAUUGGGCGUAAAGCGCGCGCAGGCGGUCCUUUAAGUCUGAUGUGAAAGCCCACGGCUCAACCGUGGAGGGUCAUUGGAAACUGGGGGACUUGAGUGCAGAAGAGGAAAGCGGAAUUCCACGUGUAGCGGUGAAAUGCGUAGAGAUCCGGAGGAACACCAGUGGCGAAGGCGACACGCUGGGCCGUACCUGACACUGAUGCGCGACAGCAUGGGGAGCAAACAGG
rnacentral:rRNA from 1 species